GCGCCGGUGGUGUAAUGGCGUAGAGCAUUCCCACCCGGUGAGAAGGAGGUGCGGGUUCGAGUCCUGCCUGGCGCU
rnacentral:tRNA from 1 species